UCGAGGGUUGUCGCUAGUAAAGAGAGUUCCUGUUGUCUUAAAUCACCCGCGGUGGUUUACUGCGAAAUUCAGCCAUUUAAUCUGAAACACAGACAGAAAUAACUGCAGCCGUGUGUCCCUGCAAGUCUUGGCUGAGGCCAGCUUUUACAUUCUAAGCACUUUAAGUACCAAGUGGCCUGGAUGGCUUGAAGCCAAACAGUAAUGUUUCCUUUUGCUGUUGCUGAGAAAGGCAUUCAGGAAAACAAUUGAGCACAAUAAGGGCCUUCCUGUUCCGGCGGGCGGAGGAGCGUGUGAACCACCCAGCAAACGUGGAGCAAAGCACCUGAAAUCCUAAGAGUUCCACUGCUGUGCCUGGAUACAUCUAAAGGACCCUGGGAAGAGGAUUCCAGCAACCCGGGAAGACUGACUCUUAUUGCAGGAGAGGAGACUAGAAGUUGACACCACAGCCAAACAAACUUUGUCACAAACUGUCAUCUCUCAUCUUUCUUCUAAGGGCCCAUCAUUCAUCUUUCCAAAAACUCAUUUACUCUCCCCUAAGAGGCCUACCUUUGCCCUCCCCUUUCCCUAUUAAAAUGGUAUU